GACGAACGCUGGCGGCGUGCUUAACACAUGCAAGUCGAACGGAAAGGCCCUGCCUUUGUGGGGUGCCCGAGUGGCGAACGGGUGAGUAACCCGUGAGUAACCUGCCCUUGACUUUGGGAUAACUUCAGGAAACUGGGGCUAAUACCGGAUAGGAGCUCCCGCUGCAUGGUGGGGGUUGGAAAGUUUCGGCGGUUGGGGAUGGACUCGCGGCUUAUCAGCUUGUUGGUGGGGUAGUGGCUUACCAAGGCUUUGACGGGUAGCCGGCCUGAGAGGGUGACCGGCCACAUUGGGACUGAGAUACGGCCCAGACUCCUACGGGAGGCAGCAGUGGGGAAUAUUGCACAAUGGGCGGAAGCCUGAUGCAGCAACGCCGCGUGCGGGAUGACGGCCUUCGGGUUGUAAACCGCUUUCGCCUGUGACGAAGCGUGAGUGACGGUAAUGGGUAAAGAAGCACCGGCUAACUACGUG
rnacentral:rRNA from 1 species